UCAGCAGUCCAAAAUAUUAGUCAAUGCUCGAAAGAGUGAACUAGCUAACUGAAAUCAAUUAAAAUAAUUGAUAACAUAAGGGAAAAUAAUGAUAUUACCWUAUUAUUAGUGUCGUCCAAAACUMGGUGCCAGAAGACUCGGUAAGGCCAGAGACACAAACGUUAAUCGUCUUAAUCAGGCGUAAAGGGUUUGUAGGCGGCUUUAAAAUUUAGUUAAAAAAAAAUUUAAGUAAAGAAUAAAAGCUAGAAUCAAAUAGAGGAUAUAUGAAAGAAUGCUUAGAGUAGGUCUGAUAUCUUUAGAUACUAAGUAGAAUAUUAAAGGCGAAAGCUUUUUUCCAUUAAUGAUUGACGCUCAGAAACGAAGGUGAGGAUAGGAAAUAGGAUUAGAUACCCAGAAUACCCCUCUCUGUCAACGAUGAAUGGUAGUUAUUAGUAAAAAUUAUUAAUGGCAAUGUUAACACGAUAACCAUUCCGCCUUGUGAGUACAACUGCAAAGUUGAAAACAAAAAAAUUAGUCGGUUUCGGAGCAAACGAAGUGAAGCAUGUUAUUUAAUUCAAUAAAUCCGCAAAAAA
rnacentral:rRNA from 1 species